AUGGAAGAUCUACUAGACCGGCUGAACCUGCAUGAACAAGAGGGAGAGGGCUUUGUGUGGGAAGAGGAGAUCAUUGAGCCGCUAGCAGUGAUCAAAUGGCUAGCGAUUGCUAGGGUUCACACAACCAGAGGUCUUAGUCCCACCGCCCUUUACUCAGUUAUGAGAUCGACAUGGAAUCCGGCAAGAGAGGUGAUCUGAAGGAAGGUUGAGGAUAACCUUUCCACUGUCCAAUUUGGCUGCCUUGCUGACUGGAACAAGGUGAUGACCAUGGGGCCCUGGCUUUUCAGGUACCAAGCUGUUAUUCUGGAGGAGUAUGAUGGGUUUGAGAACCCUAUAUCAGUGGUCUUGGACAAAAUAGCGGUAUGGGAUAGAGUUUUACGCAUUCUUGAUAACCUGCUGCAUGAUGUGGUGAUACGCGGGAUGUGUCGACCUAUGGGAGAGAUUCUUGCUGUUCAGAUAACGCUCCCAGCGGGCUAUGUGGGAGAAUUUGUCAGGGUAUGGGUCAAAAUCUAUGUGACAAAAAAGCUGUUUCGAUUUGUCUCAAUCACAAGAGGAACAAAGCAGGUGUGCUACCAAAUUCAGUAUGAGAAGUUGCCUACUUUUUGUGGGAACUACGACCUGCUAGGCCAUUGGCAUGAAGAGUGCGGUACUGGUGAAUGA
rnacentral:rRNA from 1 species